rnacentral:tRNA from 1 species
AGGAUAUUAGUUUAAAUAAAACAAUUAAAUUGCAUUUAAAAAAUAUUAAUAUUAAAUAUAUCUUA